GAGGAAUUUUCGGCAAUGGGGGCAACCCUGACCGAGCAACGCCGCGUGCAGGAUGACGGCCUUCGGGUUGUAAACUGCUUUUCUCUGGGACGAGCAAGGACGGUACCAGAGGAAUCAGCCCCGGCUAACUACGUGCCAGCAGCCGCGGUAAUACGUAGGGGGCGAGCGUUGUCCGGAGUUACUGGGCGUAAAGCGCAUGCAGGCGGUUGUGUACGUUUGAGGUAACAGCUCCCGGCUCAACUGGGAGAGCGUCUCGAAAACGGCACGACUUGAGGGCUAAAGAGGGACAUGGAAUUCCGGGUGUAGUGGUGAAAUGCGUAGAUAUCCGGAGGAACACCAAUGGCGAAGGCAGUGUCCUGGUUAGCACCUGACGCUCAGAUGCGAAAGCUAGGGGAGCGAAC
rnacentral:rRNA from 1 species